GGUUCCAUUUGGAAACAUGUUUGGAAAAACAUGUUUUAUUUCGCUUGUUUACAGUAAUUAAAUUUCAUUAAUCGCCCCCAACGCAUUUGCCGCUCUAGGCGAUCGCCUAGGAUCGCCUUUGCAUUGUUUCUUGUUGGUACUAAACACCUAGCUCCUCCUCCUCCUACAUUACUAAACACCUAGCUCCUCCUACGUUACUAAACACCUAGCUCCUCCUCCUGCUGCGUUACUAAGUGCCUGUAUGCGCUGUCGAUUUGGAUAGAAGUCUGCUCUCUCUCUUGCUGCUAGAGAGUCAUCUCUAGAGAGGAGCUACAAAACAGUUGUAAAAAAGAACAAACUAUUUGUAUAUACAGUGUAUGUCUGUAUGUUUAUUGAACCAACACAUAUUGAUUUAGCCUGGCUAACGCCAGACCUCAUCUCAAUCUACAUUUUGAUGAGGUCUGGGAACCACUCAUUCAUUUUCUCGUAUUUGAGGCGUGGUUUACGAUUGCUCAGAGCCGUUUAUUGGGCGCUACGAAGGUCUAUCAUAUGAGUCUGUACGUAGCUCAUAGCCAUUCAAAGCCUGUUGGUAGCAGGGCAAAGACAUCCUUAUCUCAGGCGAAAAUUGGAUCCAUGGAAUCCAGGCUGCCUAGCAGCGCGUAAUGAAAUCGCGUGCAAGGCAGCACGGAUAUACCCAGGCUAACAUUAAUUGGCAGUCUCGUAGGAAAUUCCCCUCUCAUUCCCCUUAGUUUGGAACCAAUGGAAAAACCGAGCCCUCUAUCCAUGAACAGUAUAAUUACAAUGACUACGUGGAAAAUGAUCUGCGGGCCGCACUAAGUGAGGGUGCGGGCGGCAUGUGGCCCCCCUCCCUGGUAUAAGGCAUUCCUUUAUCGUUUAUAGGGACCCAAAGUUAACAUCUGAAAAUAUCCUUUCUUCAGAUUCAAACUUUGAAGGUCCUGGUGAAUUUGUCGUCAAAUCCCGAUAUGAUGGACGACAUAGUACAGGCCACGGUAAGGAUUAAACUCUCCUGGUUGUUGUUAGUUAAACUCUGAACUCUAUAAAGGUCAGUACUGACCUGUCCAGACUGUUAUGGUCAGUGUUGAUGUAUGUUCUAGAUGCCACCUGUAUCGUACAUAAAAUACAUGUUACAAGUUAUUCUAUUACCAUCAUCACUAAAUACUAAUCAUGCCAUGUGGUGGAGGUUGUUUAUGAGGCUGGGGUUUUGGUGGUUCUUGGUUGGAGGUGUUGUUGAUGGUGGUUCUUGGUUGCAGGUGGUGUUGAUGGUGGUUCUUGGUUGUAGGUGAUGCGAUGGUGGUUCUUGGUUGUUGAUGGUGGUUCUUGGCUGUAGGUGGUGUUGAUGGUGGUUCUUGGUUGUAGGUGGUGUUGAUGGUGCUUCUUGGUUGUAGGUGCUGUUGAUGGUGGUUCUUGGUUGUAGAUGAUUGUGGUUCUUGGUAGUAGGUGAUGGUGGUUCUUGGUUGUAGGUGAUUCUGAUGGUGGUUCUUGGUUGUAGGUGAUGGUGGUUCUUGGUUGUAGGUGUUGUUGAUGGUGGUUCUUGGUUGUUGAUGGUUGUUCUUGGUUGUUGAUGGUGGUUCUUGGUUGUAGGUGAUGGUAGUUCUUGGUUGUUGAUGGUGGUUCUUGGUUGUAGGUGAUGGUAGUUCUUGGUUGUUGAUGGUGGUUCUUGGUUGUAGGUGUUGAUGAUGGUGGUUCUUGGUUGUAGGUGUUGUUGAUGGUGGCUUUUGGUUGUAGGUGAUGGUGUUUCUUGGUUAUUGGUGAUGUUGGUUCUUGGUUGUAGGUGUUGUUGAUGGUGGUUCUUGGUUGUAGGUGAUGGUGUUUCUUGGUUAUUGGUGAUGUUGGUUCUUGGUUGUAGGUGGUGUUGAUGGUGGUUCUUGGUUGUAGGUGGUGGUGGUUCUUGGUUACAGGUGAUGGUGGUUCUUGGUUGUAGGUGGUGUUGAUGUUGGUUCUUGGUUGUAGGUGGUGUUGGUGGUUCUUGGUUGUAGGUGAUUCUGAUGGUGGUUCUUGGUUGUAGGUGAUGGUGGUUCUUGGUUGUAGGUGUUGUUGAUGGUGGUUCUUGGUUGGAGGUGUUGUUGAUGGUGGUUCUUGAUUGGAGGUGUUGAUGGUGGUUCUUGGUUGUAGGUGAUGGUGGUUCUUGGUUGGAGGUGUUGUUGAUGGUGGUUCUUGGUUGUAGGUGGUGUUGAUGGUGGUUCUUGGUUGUAGGUGAUGGUGUUUCUUGGUUAUAGGUGAUGGUGGUUCUUGGAUGUAGGUGGUGUUGAUGGUGGUUCUUGGUUACAGGUGAUUGUGGUUCUUGGUUGUAGCUGGUGUUGAUGGUGGUUCUUGGUUGUAGGUGGUGUUGAUGGUGGUUCUUGGUUGUAGGUGGUGUUGAUGUUGGCUCUUGGUUGUAGGUGGUGUUGAUGUUGGUUCUUGGUUGUAGGUGGUGUUGAUGGUGGUUCUUGGUUGUAGGUGAUUGUGAUGGUGGUUCUUGGUUGUAGGUGAUGGUGGUUCUUGGUUGUAGGUGAUGGUGUUUCUUGGUUAUAGGUGAUGGUGGUUCUUGGUUGUAGGUGGUGUUGAUGGUGGUUCUUGGUUACAGGUGAUGGUGGUUGUAGGUGGUGUUGAUGUUGGUUCUUGGUUGUAGGUGGUGUUGAUGGUGGUUCUUGGUUGUAGGUGAUUCUGAUGGUGGUUCUUGGUUGUAGGUGCCCGCGUCUGUUGUGCUGCUGUUUGACCUGCAGACGGCCCCUGCGGUGCUCCAGCGCCUUCUGGCCUUCGCAGGGAACCUGAAGGCGUGGACGCCGUCCUCCCCAGUGGCGGCCGAGCUGCGCAGCCGGCAGGACUGCCUGUACCGGGUGCUGCUGGACCCGUCCUCCACGCUGCACAGCAGGCUGGUCCAACUGCUCUCCCACCCCGACCAGGAUGUCCGCGCACAUGUGGCUCAUGUGCUCCUGUGAGGCCCGGUGUGAAGACUCGCUGGUGACAGUCUGCCUCAAGGGGACCAACACCGCCAUCUGAAGGCCAGGGGCCACCGUGGAACCCCUUUUGGCUUUAGUCCUGGUGUGGCUGUAACUCGUCUCCAUCCGACACAGAAGUUGGCAGAACCACGGAAAACGGGGCGGCCAUUUUGAAGAACUCAUCCAUUUAAAAGUUCCCUGUUCUGCUCAUGUUGAGAACCGGUGAAAGAGACCUCUUGAUCUGCACACAUCAAGUCCUCUUUUCUAAGUGCUUCCUGUCUGCAACAUGUUGUUAAACAGCAGGUUUCUUUUUUAUUAUUUAAUGAGAAUAUCCAAAGCCACUGCCAAAUCGGUGACUCCGAUUGUUGUCUGGAGUUCUCCCAAAACAUGAAUAAUGUGAGCGGUAAAGCCGAGGUCCUGCUGCAACACCUGCUACAGCUGUUGGAAUACAAUGACUUUGGCUAUCUAUAAUAUUAAAAGAAAAAACAAAGCCCAUUUCUAAUGAAUUAGUGUAUUGGCUAAAUAACAACCAGAGAGACAGAGCCCGACAAAGGGCCAGGGAGCUAAACUGAUCCGUCUAUUAUUUACUAACAUAUGGCCUUGAUAUUACUGAAAGUUACGUCUUGGGUAUUUACCAAAAUGGAUGCAGCUUGGGUCUGCAAUUGUCUAAUGUAAUGUAAUCAUUUAUUACUGCUAUAAUAAGCCUUUCAACCUUGUUUUUACAAACAAGUUAUAGAUUCGUCGUAGGGUUUACCAGACGCACUGAGAAAUAUGUGUAAUUCUAUAAGAGCCCAGUAUGUACUGUAUAUGUACAGUAUGUAUGUAUGUGGCUAAAGCUAUCAACCAGUGAGCUAUUUAGUGUGACACUUUUUAUGAUGGCCAACUCUUAACAGAAAUGCCUGUUUUGUCUGCUUGAAUGUCUCAAUACAUUACUGAUGUAAAAUGUUUGGAGUUUGACCCGAAUUAUAAUCAGUCUUCAUUUGACGUGCAUUAACUGACGAUUUAUGGGACAUUUAAACAAGACGACACAAUUCAAGGAGAAUUAAUGAUGUGGAACCUAGCGGUGAGUUUACAGAUUGAAACCAAUUAAACUAAACACAGUAAAAUCCUAUGUUUUUGAUUGC
ensembl:lncRNA